rnacentral:rRNA from 1 species
GAUGAACGCUGGCGGCGUGCCUAAUACAUGCAAGUAGAACGCUGAAGGAAGGAGCUUGCUCUUUCCGGAUGAGUUGCGAACGGGUGAGUAACGCGUAGGUGACCUGCCUGGUAGCGGGGGAUAACUAUUGGAAACGAUAGCUAAUACCGCAUAACAGUAGAUGUUGCAUGAUAUCUACUUAAAAGGUGCAAUUGCACCACUACCAGAUGGACCUGCGUUGUAUUAGCUAGUUGGUGAGGUAACGGCUCACCAAGGCGACGAUACAUAGCCGACCUGAGAGGGUGAUCGGCCACACUGGGACUGAGACACGGCCCAGACUCCUACGGGAGGCAGCAGGAGGGAAUCUUCGGCAAUGGACGGAAGUCUGGCCGAGCAACGCCGCGGGAGUGAAGAAGGUUUUCGGAUCGUAAAGCUCUGUUGUAAGAGAAGAACGAGUGUGAGAGUGGAAAGUUCACACUGUGACGGUAUCUUACCAGAAGGGGACGGCUAACUACGUG